UGGGGAAUUUUGGACAAUGGGGGCAACCCUGAUCCAGCCAUGCCGCGUGAGUGAAGAAGGCCUUCGGGUUGUAAAGCUCUUUUGGUCGGGAAGAAAAGGCUGCGGAUAAUACCUGCGGUUUUUGACGGUACCGGCAGAAUAAGCACCGGCUAACUACGUGCCAGCAGCCGCGGUAAUACGUAGGGUGCGAGCGUUAAUCGGAAUUACUGGGCGUAAAGCGUGCGUAGGCGGUUGCUGAAGUCCGUUGUGAAAGCCCCGGGCUUAACCUGGGAAUGGCAGUGGAAACUAGGCGACUAUUGAAUCUGGCAGAGGGGGGUGGAAUUCCACGUGUAGCAGUGAAAUGCGUAGAGAUGUGGAGGAACACCGAUGGCGAAGGCAGCCCCCUGGGCUGAGAUUGACGCUCAGGCACGAAAGCGUGGGGAGCAAACAG
rnacentral:rRNA from 1 species